AAGGAAAAAGAUGAAGAGGGAAGCCUCCACCACAUGCUGAUAGGCUACAGGCCAUGAGGGGGUUUCCCAAUGUUUCCCAGACAAGACUAUCUUCUAUUCCAUGUCCCAUCUACAAGAUGCAUGCUGGUAAGGGUUUGCUGCUUCUGUGAUGCCCUUGGAAUAUUAAUGCACAUGGAAAUUGUCCCACUCCAUCUUACAAGAGAGAAGAUGACUGCAAAAGGGGAAACCUCUGGACUGAACAACAACUCAAUAAAAGAGAAAAGAAGACCUGUGGGAAACUAAUUUUGAAAAUUCUACUGUCCAGCAAUUUCAAUGGCAUGAAGACUUCCCCAUAACUGUUUAUGCCAGUAGCCCUUUAAAAUGAGAGAAAGAGUCCUUGGAGCAAGAUAAAAUGCCCGACUGGU
rnacentral:lncRNA from 1 species